rnacentral:rRNA from 1 species
UACGAAGGGGGCUAGCGUUGUUCGGAAUUACUGGGCGUAAAGGGCGCGUAGGCGGCUUCGAUAGUCGGGUGUGAAAUGCCUGGGCUCAACCCAGGAACUGCACUCGAAACUCCGAGGCUAGAGUGUGGGAGAGGAUAGUGGAAAUUCCCAGUGUAGAGGUGAAAUUCGUAGAUAUUCGGAAGAACACCAGUGGCGAAGGCGACUCACUGGACACGUAUUGACGCUGAGGUGCGAAAGCGUGGGGAGCAAACAGG